CAUUGGGACUGAGACACGGCCCAAACUCCUACGGGAGGCUGCAGUAGGGAAUCUUCCACAAUGGGCGAAAGCCUGAUGGAGCAACGCCGCGUGUGUGAUGAAGGCUUUCGGGUCGUAAAGCACUGUUGUAUGGGAAGAACAGCUAGAGUAGGGAAUGACUUUAGUUUGACGGUACCAUACCAGAAAGGGACGGCUAAAUACGUGCCAGCAGCCGCGGUAAUACGUAUGUCCCGAGCGUUAUCCGGAUUUAUUGGGCGUAAAGCGAGCGCAGACGGUUAAUUAAGUCUGAUGUGAAAGCCCGGAGCUCAACUCCGGAAAGGCAUUGGAAACUGGUUAACUUGAUGUAACAGGUAGAGGUAAGUGGAAUCUUCCAUGUGUAG
rnacentral:rRNA from 1 species